GCGUAGGGUAUCUAGGCAGCAAGAAGUAAUGUAAAUGAAAAACUGGGUAGGUAACUCUUGUUGUUUACUUUUGGAUCUUGCUUGAAUCUCAGACAGGAAAAUGGUAUUUAUCAGGAAUGAUAAAAUAUGUUGAUAAAUAAAGGACCGACAUUGGCGAAGGCAAUUUUCUGGUCGAGUAUUGAGCUAACGUACUAAGGCAGGGGAGCAAACUGGAUUAGACACCCAGGUAGUCCGUGUGUCAACGCUGAAUUUUCAAUAUGGGUAAAUUUUAAAAUUUAAAUAAAUUUAUUAAUUUUAAUAAUUUUAAUAAUUAAAUAUCUGUGUUCCAGUAACGCGUUAAAUAUUCCGCUGGGGAAUACGGCCGCAGGUUGAAACUCAAAAGAAUUGAGGUGACUUGUACAAGG
rnacentral:rRNA from 1 species